GUAGGUGGCAAGCGUUGUCCGGAAUUAUUGGGCGUAAAGCGCGCGCAGGCGGUUCUCUAAGUCUGAUGUGAAAGCCCACGGCUCAACCGUGGAGGGUCAUUGGAAACUGGAGAACUUGAGUACAGAAGAGGAAAGCGGAAUUCCACGUGUAGCGGUGAAAUGCGUAGAGAUGUGGAGGAACACCAGUGGCGAAGGCGGCUUUCUGGUCUGUAACUGACGCUGAGGCGCGAAAGCGUGGGGAGCAAACAGGAUUAGAUACCCUGGUAGUCCACGCCGUAAACGAUGAGUGCUAAGUGUUAGGGGGGUUUUCCGCCCCCCUUAGUGCUGCAGCUAACGCAUUAAGCACUCCGCCUGGGAGUACGGCCGCAAGGCUG
rnacentral:rRNA from 1 species